AACGAACGCUGGCGGCGCGCCUAAUACAUGCAAGUCGAGCGAGAAGACGUAGCAAUACGUUUGUAAAGCGGCGAACGGGUGAGGAAUACAUGGGUAACCUACCCUCGAGUGGGGAAUAACUAGCCGAAAGGUUAGCUAAUACCGCGUACGCUCCUUGGACUUCGGUUCAGGGAGGAAAGCGAUACCGUGGGUAUCGCGCUCUUGGAUGGGCUCAUGUCCUAUCAGCGUUGUUGGGAGGUAACGGCUCACCAAGGCUUCGACGGGUAGCUGGUCUGAGAGGACGAUCAGCCACACUGGCACUGCGACACGGGCCAGACUCCGUACGGGAGCAGCAGUAAGGAAUAUUGCGCAAUGGGCGAAAGCCUGACGCGAGCGACGCCGCGGUGGGGGAUGAAGGUCUUCGGA
rnacentral:rRNA from 1 species